UCUCAUAUCUCUCUAUACGGGAGAGAAGCUUCGACUAAGGUUCGAUUCGAGCGUCAGCGAGAAAGCGUUGCCGCAGGCAACGACCCGAAGGGCGAAGCGCGCAG
rnacentral:sRNA from 1 species